rnacentral:lncRNA from 1 species
GUUUAACAAUGUGCUUAGGUUUAAGAAAGAAAAGAAAAAGGGUAUAGAUGGUCAGAAAAGUAAAUAAUUUGCUGCAUACACCUUUAGUCCCAGCACUCUGGGCAGAGACAGGCAGGUCUCUGUGAGUUCAAGGCCAGCUGGUCUACGAAGCAAGUUCCAGGACAGGCUCCAAAGCUACAGAAAAACCCUGUCUUGAAAAACAAAAACAAAAAAGUAAAUUAAGAACAAUAAAGUAAAGUAUUUAAAGAGAGAAGUAAAGUAAUAUAUAAAAAAAGAAUAAGCCACAUAGAGAUGGGAAAUACACAGGGAGUCUGGGUCCUGUAUGUUGCUGUAUUAACCUUAAAUUUUUUUAUUUCUGCUAAGCAAAUUACAGCUGCUAAGAGACAUGGGAUUGAAAGAGGGACUGGUGAAAUAAGCCAGUCUAUAUACUUUGGGAAUGCCUUGACUUUAAAAUGGAAGUAAAAAAUGUAUUUGUCAAAUGGAAGUAAAAAAAAAAAAUGCUUUGGGGGAGAGGUUAUGCUUUUGUUUCCACGGGAAAUGAGAGGUUUCGAAUUCCUCCAGGAUUAAUAUCGAUCAGGUUUGAUGAGGGGGAGACCUGAAUCUUAACAGGUAUGAUAUCUGUAAGAGAAAAUGCUCACCACGCCCAUUUGGGGGCUGGACAAGGCGUCGCUGACCACGCCCACUUGGGCUUGGUCAGAGUGACUUAGCAAGGGUUUGAAUAUCAGGGAUGCAAUACACACACGUGGCUCUCUUUUUCCCUCUCCCACCUGGCUGAGCAAACGAGCAGGCAUCCAGUGUAAACCUGGUCACUGGCUCCAUUGGGAUGUAGUCCCUGAGCGGGAGAGCACCCAUAUGAGGCUUGAAACCACAGCCUGAGCGAGGGCAGACGAGAUGCUGAGAUGGGCAGUGCCCCUGCGUCGUUGCUUCUUCCUGGGGAGACCUGGUUCCAUCUCCACCCUCCCACUCCUUGGGAACACGGGACACAGAGCCUGUGGACAUCCCAAGCCAUGCAUUCAAGCCCCAUCUACACUUCCACUAACUGCUAUUAUGUCUUACGAAUGCUAUCUGACCAAGUAAAGGAGGACUGGCAUCGUGCAUACGUUUAGGGUGGUCUGGUGGAUGUUUAUGUGUCUGUGUCUGUCCGGAGUACUUGUGGCGCUGCAGGUGGAGGGCCAGGCCUGCAUGUUCACAGCUGUCCACUAGGUGGCGCCCACGUUCCGCGGAGAGGCCACCAUGGAAGGAGCGUCCACUCUCAGGCUGGCUGAGGCUAUCCCCUCUGCUCCGAAAAAAAAAGAAAGGGAGAUUGUGGAAGGAGAUUGCUUAAUCUCUAAAAUCCCGGUUCCAUAAUACCAAGCCUCUCUUUAGACUUCAUGAGCACGAGAUGAGGUGCUUUUCUCUAGCUAAGCGGCCUAGAGCCACUCAGAGGCAAGGGUUUGGACUCUGACUUUUGUCCCUUCAGACAUCUGAAGCUUCCAGGAAGUAUG